AUGCGAGUCAGAGUUCUUCGUGAACUCGGCGGACUGCUCAGUAACACGUGGGUAAUCUACCCUAAGGUCAGGGAUAAUCCCGGGAAACUGGGAAUAAUACCUGAUAGGUGAAGAUAUCUGGAACGAUACUUCGCCCAAAGCCCCGGCGCCUUAGGAUGAGCCUGCGCCCGAUUAGGUUGUUGGUGGUGUAAAGGACCACCUAGCCCGUUAUCGGUACGGGUGUUGAGAGACAUAGCCCGGAGAUGGGGGCUGAGACACGGCCCCAGGCCCUACGGGGCGCAGCAGGCGCGAAAACUACGCAAUGCGCGAAAGCGUGACGUGGGAACUCCAAGUGCCUUGCCUUAGGGUAAGGCUUUUGUUUAGUGUAAGCAGCUAAACGAAUAAGUGCUGGGUAAGACCGGUGCCAGCCGCCGCGGUAACACCGGCAGCGCAAGUGGUGACCGCUUUUAUUGGGCCUAAAGCGUUCGUAGCCGGUUUGGUAAGUCUUUGGGUAAAUCCUCUGGCUCAACCAGAGGAAUUCCGGAGAUACUGCCAGACUUGGGGUUGAGAGAGGUCAGAGGUACCUCUGGGGUAGGGGUGAAAUCCUAUAAUCCUAGAGGGACCACCAGUGGCGAAGGCGUCUGACUAGAGCAAGCUCGACGGUGAGGGACGAAAGCCAGGGGCGCGAACGGGAUUAGAUACCCCGGUAGUCCUGGCCGUAAACGCUGCGCGCUAGGUGUUGCAUGCUCUACGAGGGCGUGCAGUGCCGAAGAGAAGUUGAUAAGCGUGCCGCCUGG
rnacentral:rRNA from 1 species